GGAUUGUGACUCAGUGGUAGAGCACUUGCCUAGCACGUGUGAGGCACUGUGUUCAAUCCCCGGCACCA
rnacentral:tRNA from 1 species